rnacentral:misc_RNA from 1 species
GCCCAACUCCCAAAAAACGAAUUUAAUUCUACAAAAACAAAGACUUUAACAUUGUUGAGUUUGAAUUUUCUAUCUCCUCUGGUGGGGGCUUUACAUACCUNNNNNNNNNNNNNUUACCUUUUGGUGGCGUUUUCUCCUCAUCCUGUGGAGUUUGUCCUUGCUUUGUUGCUUCCUCUUCUCUUUCCGUCGAUUGCGAAGAUUCCUUUCUUUCUCAAAUACACCUUGCCAGACUACCUCUCCUGUUGAUGGCCAUAACCACCUUUUCUUAGGGUGGUCAGAAUCUGCCUCCUCAGCCAAGUCUUCAUCCAUGCUCUUUAGGGUGGCGUACGAGAACCAUUUAACCCACAUUUUGCCUCUCCUGCUCUUCAUUUUGUGCUGCUCUUGCAUCAAGCCAGUCUCAGGGUUUACAUACACCAUCUGCCUUGCACUGUGGUAUGCCCAGACAUUUAUCAGCAGCUCAAGGGCUCGUGAGUAGCAAUGCUUAUCCUUCGAUAAACUCAGAUAACAAUGACCACUCUGAUGGUGCUCCUCAUACAUUUGUGCAUCCAAUGC